GCCUGAUGCAGCGACGCCGCGUGCGGGAUGACGGCCUUACGGGUUGUAAACCGCUUUCAGCAGGGACGAAGCGGAAGUGACGGUACCUGCAGAAGAAGCCCCGGCCAACUACGUGCCAGCAGCCGCGGUAAUACGUAGGGGGCGAGCGUUGUCCGGAUUUAUUGGGCGUAAAGAGCUCGUAGGCGGCUGUUCGAGUCGGGUGUGAAACCCCAGGGCUUAACUCUGGGCCUGCAUUCGAUACUGGGCGGCUUGAGUCUGGUAGGGGGAUCUGGAAUUCCUGGUGUAGCGGUGGAAUGCGCAGAUAUCAGGAGGAACACCGGUGGCGAAGGCGGGAUCCUGGGCCAGUACUGACGCUGAGGAGCGAAAGCGUGGGGAGCAAACAGGAUUAGAUACCCUGGUAGUCCACGCUGUAAACGAUGGGUGCUAGGUGUGGGGGGUUAUCGACUCCCUCCGUGCCGCAGCUAACGCAUUAAGCACCCCGCCUGGGGAGUACGGCCGCAAGGCUA
rnacentral:rRNA from 1 species